rnacentral:lncRNA from 1 species
AAUGAAGAGACAAGGUCUUGCUAUGUUGCUCAGGUUGGUCUUGAAUUCCUGGCCUCAAGGGAUCCUCCUCCAUUGGCCUCCCAAAGUGCUGGGAUUUGCCCAGCCCCUAACUGUUGUUUUGUUAAGUUGCAUUUCUCAAGAUUGGGCAGAGUAGCUUCCUAGACUUGGUGAUUUAAUUUUACUUUUCUUGUCUUGUUAUUUCUCUGCAUUCAAUGUUACCUUAAUUGUAAAAUAAAAAUUACCAAGACAUUGCUGAAUAUAGUUGUUGAUUAGUGUUCCCUUGAUAGUAGUCCUGCAUUUUUACUUUCAGCUACUGCUUAAUCACAUUCAUUUGCAAAAUUGGAAAAUUUUUACUUUGGCUAAUUACCAUAGGUUUAGAACUUUCUGGUCUUCAGCUCCAGAAAUGUAUCGCUGUGUUGAGAUCAUGUUUUAUUUCAUCCAUGUUUAUUUGAAUACUGCCCCUCUGAAAAGCUGACUGUUUUUGGAGCUUUUAUACACAAGUAUGAGUGAGGAAAUUACUUUAGGUGUAGAAUAAAAUUGUGUAGAAAUAAUUAUCUUUGAAAAAAUUUGGUAUUCAGGAUAUUGAAUUGGAAGUGUUGAAGAAGCAGCUGUUUUGUGUGUAAUACGUUUCUCUUGUUUGAGAAUUUACCAGUUUUUUGCAGUUGUAGCUUUGAACUAUCCAUUCCCCCCUUAAAUUUAGAUACCCUGACAACCAAAAAUCUCUUGAAUUGUCAUGAAGUACUUUAGUAGAAGUUUUAUGGAAAAACACAACAUAGCUAUGAUCUUUGCUGGAAGCUUCAAAAAGGCAUCAUCGUGUGAUGCUUUUUAGGUAGAAAAACUCCCAGAAAUAAGAUAAGGUACCUACACUGGGCAAAGCCCAAGCCUCUUACUCAUGUUUCCUGGUAAUCCACAGCAGUGGUUUUGCUCCUUUCAUGACAUUGUUUUUGUUGUAGUGUUUGUCUUUCAUAAAAAUUCUCCAUAAAAAUAUAUAAAAAUUACCUGUCUUCCAAAUCAAACUUUUAUCAAACCUUCCAAGCUGAAAGCUGGUACAAUUUAAGAUCAUUUUACCCAGGAACAGAGUAAUAAUUUAUUUUGUGUUUACUGUUUCAUUGGACUUACUGAUUUAUUGGUGGUGACUUGAUCUUAUGUGUACUUGGUGACCUUAAAGUAAAUUACCUGGGUAGUUGUGGUCAUUUGACAAGUUUUUAUUGAGCACACAGCCAUUUGCGCUCUUGGUGUACAGUGGUAUAAAGACAGACCAGGUCCCUGUUCUUACGGAGCUUAAAAUACUAUGGAAAGGAAGAGAAAAUAAACUAACAGAAAAAUAACAAUUUCAGCUGGCGACAAGUGCUACGAAGAAUUUAGAGAAGGGUAAGGAACUACAGAGUGAUGAGAACUGGGUGGAGUGACUGCUUUAUAGACAAUGUUGAGAUAAUGCAUUUAAUUUUUUAGGAAAAAGUAAUGCUACUUCCUUUUGGAGCCGGGGAUAAUUCUUAUGUAGGUUUACCUGUGCCAUUUAGCUCAUUUGGUUGGGGGACAGACAGCUUUUAGAUUUGGAGCCCUUGUGCAUAGGCUGCUAAACUUAUAAACUUAGUUCCAUGUUGUAGACUAAACCUAGGCCAGCUAAUUUACUAGUAUUGUUAGUCAUUAGGGUGGGAGAUUAUGAAUGGAUUCACUUACAUAUUAUUUAUUCAUGUGGCAUAUAUUUGUUGUGUAUUUCAGUAGGUGCUGAAGAAAAUUCCAGGAUUAAGAAAAACUUUCUCAAGUAGCUGUAGUUUACCAAAAUAGUUAUCAGAACUAAUUUGGUUCAUUAGGACUUUGAGUAAAUAGUAGGUCUCUCGUGUCCUAAAUGACUUGAGCUAACACAUUCUGCAGUCUUUCUGGCACUUCUUUUCUCUUUUGCCUCAUCACCCAUGCUUUUUCUCUUUGUGGCAUCUUCUGUGUUACUUUUCAUAACUAGUACUCCCACUUCCCUUUUUACCUAUAGAUACAAACUUUUUCAACGGUCGCAUACAUAGAAGUGCACAAAUCGUAAGUAUAAGGAUUUGAUAAAGUUUUGCAGAAUGAGCAUAUCUUUGCCACUAGCACCCAGAUUGAUUUUUUUUUUUUUUUUGAGACAGGUAUCUGGCUCUGUUGCCCAGGCUAGAGUGUGGUGGUGUAAUCACAGCUCACUGUAGCCCCUACUUUGAGGCCCAGGUGAUACUCUCACCUCAGCCUCCUGAGUAGUUGGGACCAUAGACAUGUGCCAUCAUGCCUGGCACAUUUUUAAGGGCUUUUUUUUUUUCUUUUUGUGAGACACGGUCUCCCUAUGUUGCCUAGGCUAGUGUCUUAUUUCUGGGCUCAAGCGAUCCUCCCGCCUCAGCCUCCCAGAGAGUUGGUAUUAUAGGCAUGAGCCACUGUGCUGGCUUGCACCUAGAUUCUUAAAGAGAACAUUACUAGAACAUUACCGGAAGCCCCUUGUGCACUGUCCCCUGUGGGCCACUUCUCCCACCCCAUUCCUGUCUUUUAAUACUAGAGAUCAGUUGUGCUUGUUUUUGAAAUUUAUGUGAGUGGAGUAUACUAUGUAUACAGUACACAGUAAAUACUGUAUGUACCACUGCCUAUAUACAGUAUACUCCACAGUGAGUGAAACAAGCCAGACUCAGAAGCAUACAUACUGUAUGUACCACUUUGCUUAGUAGCCACAGUGUAUGCACCAUGGUACAUGCAUAUACUUCUGAAUCUGGCUUGUUUCACUCAUGGUUAGGUGUGCAGGAUUCAUCCAUGUUGUUGUGUGCAGUUCUUGCUUAUUUUACCAGUCUGUCUUAUCCUGAGAAUAUCUUUGACAUUCAACUCUGCAUGCAGACCCUUCCUUACACGUUCUAGAGAGAGGACCUGUCUUCACCCUGUGUUUAUUACCCACAUACUUGAACAGCUGUUUCCUCCAGGCAUCAUUAUGCAAAAGGAAUGAAACCCGGUGUGUGCAGCUUUUUUAGAGGACGUAAAAGGAGUCAGCUCUUGCCUCUCAUCAAUAGUAUUGUUUAUCAGUCAUUUCUCUUUUGAGGCAUUGGUUGAAUAAAUGGGAAAAUUCCUGCUUUCAAGGAACUUAGCAGACUUGUUGACAGAUAAGACCAUAAGAAGAAAGCCAGUGAAGUACCCAGUGAUGUGAACGCCAUGGUAUGAGCAAGUACAUAAUAGAGACCACAAGUGCUUUUUAGAAGUUAGAGAUAGUCAUUCUCUGGGGCUUCCUCAGGAAAAUCCUCGCUGAAUCUGGGAUCUAAACUGGGCCUUAUGAUUCUUGGAUAUAAGUUCCCUACUCCCCGCCCCACACCCCCUCUAAAAAAAAAGUACUAGAAGUUACACACAGAACUGUAGCCUUGGAGGCUGUAGGCAGUGCAUUUAAAGUACUUCUGGAGUGGUUUUGAGCUUCAGAGCAUUGACACACUUCCCUAAAUAACUGUGACAAUUCUUUCUAUUUGCUGUUGCCCAUCGGUGAUUUCAGUGGCCAGUAGUCAUACUGGAAAGUCUGAUAAUAAAGCAGGGGAUCAGUCAUGUGGUACCAAACCAGUUGUGGGGAAUGUUAGAUGUGUUAAGAUGUGAUUAGCAACGACAUUCCUGUUUGUAAACUGGCAUCUAUGGCGGUUUAAAAAUGGUGGCAAAACCAUUUUGAGUAUUGUUGGAAAUGUUAUCUGUUCUGCCGUGUUAAUAUACCUAUAAGUUGGUAGUUGCAUCUUGUACCCUUGAUAGUCAUACUUUGUACAUUGUGUAUGCCACUCUUCUGUUGAGUAAUUUGGAUUAAUUACUUUGGAGAUUGAAGUCUUGACUCAUUCACUUCACUCAUUUAUUUAGCUGUAUUUUCAGUUCCAUGCAAUGAGUGACACAGACUGUGCUGCCAAAAAGGAAUUCUCAGUAAGGGCAAUGCACAUAAAUUACUGUGUUACUCAGAAAUCAUGAAUAGUUGAGAUCACAAGGAAAUCUACUUAAAUUGUCCUGUGGUUGGGAAAAGAAACUAGUGGAAGGAAUAUGUUAAAAAAGCAUCUUUCUUAAAAUGUAUUCAAAAUAUUUUUCUCUACAAUUUAAGAGCAUUAGCAAAUACAACCUAGGAUGAAACUUUAACAGCCUUUGAGAGGGACAAGAAAUGAAAUUAAGGGUGAUAUAUGAUGCCAGUAUCAUCGGUGUAUUGGGUCUCAUAAUACAUACAAUACAUGGUAGUUAGUCAUAGGGAGAAAACAAACCUGGUGGCUGCUUUCUAAGAACAAAUCAGAUUUCUUGUGUAGCUAUGUGGUUUAACUGUUCUUGCCCUUCUUUUACAAAACUAAACAGAGUGCUGGUUCUCAAACUUUAGCAUGUUAUCAGAAUCACUUGGAAGAAGACUUCUUCAACACAUUGCUGAGUCCCAUUCCCAGAGGUUCAGAAAAUUAGAUGUUGACAUUUUCAAAGUGAACUUAAGAGAAGAUAAUUUCAAGAAUUAACAUUCUUGAAAUGACAAAAUUACAGAGAUAAGAGAACACAUUAGUGGUUGCCAGGAGUUAGGACUAGUGGCAGGAGGGAGGGAGAUGGAUGUAACUGUAAAAGGGUAGCAAGAGGAAGAUCUUUGUGGUGAUGAAGACCAUUUAAAUUAGAGGAGGACAAUAAGAUGUCACUUGAGGAGUUACCUUGCUCCGAAUUAUCCUGAGGUUAUUAGCCUAUUCAGAUAAGCUAUAAUGUAAAAAGUUAACAUAAGCCUGUAUAGAUUAGAUGAUUUAUUUUGCUUGUUGCAGUGUUUCUCUUUAUAAAGUUGAGUAUUCUUCAUCCUGUCUUUUGGAUACAUAUACCUAUAAAAACGGGCCAAGAAUAUGCAUUCUGUGCUGACUGCC